AUUGAACGCUGGCGGUAUGCUUAACACAUGCAAGUCGAACGGCAGCAUGGUCUGUAGCAAUACAGGCUGAUGGCGAGUGGCGGACGGGUGAGUAACGCGUAGGGCUCUGCCCUGUAGCGGGGGACAACCCGGGGAAACCCGGGCUACUACCGCAUGAUACUCUGAGGAGGAAAGCUGGGAGCAUCCCUGGCGCUAUGGUAGGAACCUGCGUCCGAUUAGCUUGAUGGUGAGGUAAAGGCUCACCAUGGCGAUGAUCGGUAGCUGGUCUGAGAGGAUGACCAGCCACACUGGGACUGAGACACGGCCCAGACUCCUACGGGAGGCAGCAGUGGGGAAUAUUGGACAAUGGGGGCAACCCUGAUCCAGCAAUACCGCGUGUGUGAAGAAGGCCUUCGGGUUGUAAAGCACUUUGGGCGGGGAAGAAGGAGGAGUUUAAGAGAUGCCACAUUUGACGGUACCCGCAGAACAAGCACCGGCUAACUCUGUGCCAGCCGCCGCCGUAA
rnacentral:rRNA from 1 species